rnacentral:lncRNA from 1 species
UAUAUACAGGGGCGUAGGAAGCACCUGGAGUUUGGGGGGGCACCGGCUUGUAGGGGCACAUUACUAUCGGAAAGGGCACCUAAAAAAUUUUUCCCGGAAAUGUUGUCGACGGGGGGGGGAGGGGGGGGGGGGGAGAAAUUUCUCCUGAGGAAAAUUUUCCGUCGUAUCAUACCGAAAUUUAUGUUUGUGACCUAAUUUUUAAAAAAAAAUUGUAAAUUUCCACACAAAAACGGCACCUAUUGUUUUAAUUUAGUAUUUACAGCGACAUUAGCUUCUACAAAAGGGGCACUUUCCCUCACAAAAAAGGGCACUUUUCAACACAAAAAGGGCACUUUUUAUCACAAAAAAGGGCACUUUUAGUCCUUUAAAAAA